rnacentral:rRNA from 1 species
UACGGGGGGGGCAAGCGUUGUUCGGAAUUACUGGGCGUAAAGGGCUCGUAGGUGGCCAACUAAGUCAGACGUGAAAUCCCCGGGCUCAACCCGGGAACUGCGUCCGAUACUGGCAGGCUUGAAUCCGGGAGAGGGAUGCGGAAUUCCAGGUGUAGCGGUGAAAUGCGUAGAUAUCUGGAGGAACACCGGUGGCGAAGGCGGCAUCCUGGACCGGCAUUGACGCUGAGGCGCGAAAGCCAGGGGAGCAAACGGG